UACAGAGGUCCCAAGCGUUGUUCGGAUUCACUGGGCGUAAAGGGUGCGUAGGUGGUGAGGUAAGUCUGAUGUGAAAUCUCCGAGCUCAACUCGGAAAUGGCAUUGGAUACUAUCUUGCUAGAGGAUUGGAGGGGGGACUGGAAUUCUCGGUGUAGCAGUGAAAUGCGUAGAUAUCGAGAGGAACACCAGUGGCGAAGGCGAGUCCCUGGACAACUCCUGACACUGAGGCACGAAAGCUAGGGGAG
rnacentral:rRNA from 1 species